GAUGAACGCUGGCGGCGUGCCUAAUACAUGCAAGUCGAGCGAACAGACGAGGAGCUUGCUCCUCUGACGUUAGCGGCGGACGGGUGAGUAACACGUGGAUAACCUACCUAUAAGACUGGGAUAACUUCGGGAAACCGGAGCUAAUACCGGAUAAUAUAUUGAACCGCAUGGUUCAAUAGUGAAAGACGGUUUUGCUGUCACUUAUAGAUGGAUCCGCGCCGCAUUAGCUAGUUGGUAAGGUAACGGCUUACCAAGGCAACGAUGCGUAGCCGACCUGAGAGGGUGAUCGGCCACACUGGAACUGAGACACGGUCCAGACUCCGACGGGAGGCAGCAGUAGGGAAUCUUCCGCAAUGGGCGAAAGCCUGACGGAGCAACGCCGCGUGAGUAUGAAGGUCUUCGGAUCGUAAAACUCUGUUAUUAGGGAAGAACAAAUGUGUAAGUAACUAUGCACGUCUUGACGGUACCUAAUCAGAAAGCCACGGCUAACUACGUG
rnacentral:rRNA from 1 species